UAACGUGCCCUCUCUUGUAAUUUUCACAAUUUCCUUAUGUUCAGACUUCUUAUUCCUCUCUGUCGAUCAGACGCACAGAUAGGGGAAAAAAAUCUAAAACCUUUGACUCAGUCUCCAUUUUCACUACUGUCUCCCUUCGUUUCUCUUCAUGUUUUCUGGUGAUCUUUCACUUCUAUGCCUUCAGUCAUCAUCUUUCUCUUCUCUCUUCUUCUCUAUUCGGUUGAAUUUGGUGAUUGAGAGAAGCUUCGAACUCAAGACCCCUGUUAUUCUCCAUCUUUUUCGUUCUCCUUCCCUACUGUUUUGUCCGUUGCCAGUGUCCAAGUUUGCCAUGGAUUCAUCGCUGACGAGGUCGGAGUAACGGUCACUGUGCUUCUCUUUCUCCUCUGUUCGUGUGUGCUGCGGGGUGCUGUCAUCGAAGCCUCUCCUCCAUCAUCUUCCCCUGUUUCAAGUGCUAAAGUCUAUCUUCCUUCUCCGUCCUUGCUGUGGAAAAUUAAUGGUAUUCUUGGAAUUAAGUGAGAAGUUGAAGUGAAUCAAACUUUAGAAUCCUUGGAGAAUUUUCAGGUAAGUGGAUAGCGUCCCAACUGAUUUUUUUCAAUUAAAAUUUCCUUUACUAAAAUAUAUCAUUUUUUUGGAAAUCAUUUUAAUAGCAUUAAUGUGAUUUUUGGAUAUUUGUUGAUUAACAUUUCUUUAUUUUGAAAAAUUAACUUUACCAAAUUUGAAAUGUUAUUUGAUCAAUUAAGUUAAGUUUGAAUUUUGAUUAUGAAAUUUUUAUUUUAUCAAAUAUUGAAUUGAUACAGAGAAUGAUUCAUGCGAGUUCGACGUUGCAAUUUUUUUUAUUCAAUAAAUGCAAGCAUGAGCAUAGGAUAUGAAAUUUGAUUCUGGCAAGUUUUAAUGCUUAAAAGUAUUCAUGCGAGUUUGAUUUUGAGCAUGAGAAAUGUAUCUUGAAAGUGAUGAUUUUAUCGCAUGUUUGAAAAUGAUUUUAAAAGGGACUUUAUAUAGAACACUGGUUGCUAACGGCAGUUCCGUUAGCCUUUAGCGUGUCAUGGUACACCUAACUAGUAGGGUGUUUAUAAGAGGUGCUAACCCCAUGUAAUGGCCAACGCAUGUGGAAUGGAGGGAUGGUUAUUCGUGAGUAUCGUAAUCACGUUUGUUUCGUAACCUCGGCUACAUUUGGUUACAUACCCUCAUGAACUGUGUGUCUAUAUUUGUUUCGUGAUUUCGGCUGCGUUUGGUUACUUAACCUCGUGGAUUGUGUGUCCAUGUUUGUCUUCAUGGCAAGAGUUGCGUUUGGUUAUUUACCCUCGUGGACUUUGUGUCCACGUUUGUUAAUUGUUCUAAUAAGUUCCUGUAAUAUGAAUUUGAUUAUUUGAUGAUUUUACAUUC